rnacentral:pre_miRNA from 1 species
ACAACAACAUUCGGACCGUCGGUCUACCGAGCAGUAUCACCCGCUCGGUGGAAGAUCUUCCUACAAUGACAUCUC